rnacentral:rRNA from 1 species
UACGUAGGGUGCAAGCGUUGUCCGGAAUUAUUGGGCGUAAAGAGCUCGUAGGCGGUUUGUUGCGUCGGCUGUGAAAUCCCGAGGCUCAACCUCGGGUCUGCAGUCGAUACGAGCAAACUAGAGUGUUGCAGGGGAGACUGGGAAUUCCUGGUGUAGCGGUGAAAUGACGCAGAUAUCAGGAGGAACACCGGUGGCGAAGGCGGGGUCUCUGGGGCAACAACUGACGCUGAGGAGCGAAAGCGUGGGGAGCGAACAGG